rnacentral:rRNA from 1 species
UACAGAGGGGGCAAGCGUUGUUCGGAAUUACUGGGCGUAAAGGGCGCGUAGGCGGCCUGCUAAGUCGAACGUGAAAUCCCCUGGGCUCAACCCAGGAACUGCGUCCGAUACUGGUUGGCUUGAAUCCGGGAGAGGGAUGUGGAAUUCCAGGUGUAGCGGUGAAAUGCGUAGAUAUCUGGAGGAACACCGGUGGCGAAGGCGGUUCUCUGGGCAUGAUCUGACGCUGAGGAGCGAAAGUGUGGGGAGCGAACAGG